AAGCCCUUCGGGGUGGAUCAGUGGCGAACGGGUGAGUAACACGUGGGCAAUCUGCCCUGCACUCUGGGACAAGCCCUGGAAACGGGGUCUAAUACCGGAUAUGACCUGGGAGUGCAUGCUCCCGGGUGUAAAGCUCCGGCGGUGCAGGAUGAGCCCGCGGCCUAUCAGCUUGUUGGUGGGGUAAUGGCCCACCAAGGCGACGACGGGUAGCCGGCCUGAGAGGGCGACCGGCCACACUGGGACUGAGACACGGCCCAGACUCCUACGGGAGGCAGCAGUGGGGAAUAUUGCACAAUGGGCGAAAGCCUGAUGCAGCGACGCCGCGUGAGGGAUGACGGCCUUCGGGUUGUAAACCUCUUUCAGCAGGGAAGAAGCGCAAGUGACGGUACCUGCAGAAGAAGCACCGGCUAACUACGUGCCAGCAGCCGCGGUAAUACGUAGGGUGCGAGCGUUGUCCGGAAUUAUUGGGCGUAAAGAGCUCGUAGGCGGCCUGUCGCGUCGGAUGUGAAAGCCCGGGGCUUAACCCCGGGUCUGCAUUCGAUACGGGCAGGCUAGAGUGUGGUAGGGGAGAUCGGAAUUCCUGGUGUAGCGGUGAAAUGCGCAGAUAUCAGGAGGAACACC
rnacentral:rRNA from 1 species